CUUUCGGGCUGAGUAGAGCGGCGGACGGGUGAGUAACGCGUAGGAAUCUACCUGGUAGUGGGGGACAACUUGGGGAAACUCAAGCUAAUACCGCAUACGCCCUAAGGGGGAAAGCGGGGGACCUUCGGGCCUCGCGCUAUCGGAUGAGCCUGCGUAGGAUUAGCUAGUUGGUGGGGUAAAGGCCCACCAAGGCGACGAUCCUUAGCUGGUCUGAGAGGAUGAUCAGCCACACUGGAACUGAGACACGGUCCAGACUCCUACGGGAGGCAGCAGUGGGGAAUAUUGCGCAAUGGGCGAAAGCCUGACGCAGCCAUGCCGCGUGUGUGAAGAAGGCCUUAGGGUUGUAAAGCACUUUCAAUUGGGAAGAAAAGUUUGUCGUUAAUAGCGCCAAGCUCUGACAUUACCUUUAGAAGAAGCACCGGCUAACUCCGUGCCAGCAGCCGCGGUAAUACGGAGGGUGCGAGCGCU
rnacentral:rRNA from 1 species